CACCGCUCCCCCCACCCAGCCUCUCCGGCUGGUCCCCAGCCCUGCUGCCUUUCAAGUUGGACAACUUGGAAAGGAGAGAGAGAGAGGGAGAGAAAAUGACAGAGGCUCACAUACUUGAUGAAGAAGACUCUCCCACCGCGGUCAACUCCAUCCUACAUGUUUUUAGUAAAGAAAGCUGCCUUUGACAGUAAAGGAGAGCUGCAUCCGAGAAUCACAGGCCCAUCCCGCUGAUAAAGCCCAGAGCCACCUGCCCACCCCUAUGAUAUCAGAGGAUCUGAACCACCAGGACUGCUGCCAAGAUGCCUCCAGGGAAAAUACCAGCAAGCACUGCACUCCCUGUGCAACCUGAGCAACCAGAGAAAAGCAGGGGGAGACCUGAGACAGACAGAAAGCAGGAAGCAGUGUGACCACAGAGGCAGAGGCGGAAGUGAAGCCACCACAGAGCAAGGGAUGGUGACAGUCACCAGAACCUGGAAGAGGUGAAGAAGGACUUCUCCCCCAGAGCCUGCAGAGGGGUGUGGCCCUCACACUUCAAUUGCAGUCUUCUGGAAUCCGGAAC